AGAUAUGACUUAGUGGCGGACGGGUGAGUAACACGUGAGCAACCUGCCUUUCAGAGGGGGAUAACGGCUGGAAACGGUCGCUAAUACCGCAUGACGUGUUCGGAUGGCAUCAUCUGAACAUCAAAGAUUUGUCGCUGAUAGAUGGACUCGCGUCUGAUUAGAUAGUUGGUGGGGUAAAGGCCUACCAAGUCGACGAUCAGUAGCCGAACUGAGAGGUUGAUCGGCCACAUUGGGACUGAGACACGGCCCAGACUCC
rnacentral:rRNA from 1 species